rnacentral:rRNA from 1 species
AGCAGCCGCGGUAAUUCCAGCUCCAAUAGCGUAUAUUAAAGUUGUUGCAGUUAAAAAGCUCGUAGUUGAACUUCAGGCCUGUCCAGACGGUCCGCCUUAAUUGGUGUGUACUGUCCUUGGGUGGGUCCUACCUUCUGGCGAAGCGGCAUGGCCUUAAUUGGCUGUGUCGGGGAACCAGGACUUUUACUGUGAAAAAAUUAGAGUGUUCAAAGCAGGCAAAUAUGCUCGAAUACAUUAGCAUGGAAUAAUGGAAUAGGAUGAUGGUUCUAUUUUGUUGGUUCUAGGACUGUUGUAAUGAUUAAUAGGGAUAGUUGGGGGCAUUAGUAUUCAAUUGUCAGAGGUGAAAUUCUUGGAUUUAUUGAAGACUAACUACUGCGAAAGCAUUUGCCAAGGAUGUUUUCAUUAAUCAAGAACGAAAGUUAGGGGAUCGAAGACGAUCAGAUACCGUCGUAGUCUUAGCCAUAAACUAUGCCGACUAGGAAUCGGGCGAUGUUGACAAAAUGACUCGCUCGGCACCUCAUG